rnacentral:rRNA from 1 species
ACGAACGCUGGCGGCAUGCCUAACACAUGCAAGUCGAACGCCUGUAGCAAUACAGGAGGUGGCGCACGGGUGAGUAACGCGUGGAACCUGCCCUGGAGUGGGGGAUAACCGAGAGAAUUUCGGGCUAAUACAGCAUACGUCUGAUGGGAGAAAGAUUUAAUCGCUCUAGGAGGGGCCCGCGUCGGAUUAGCUAGUUGGUGGGGUAAUGGCCUACCAAGGCAACGAUCCGUAGCUGGUCUGAGAGGAUGAUCAGCAACACUGGGACUGAGACAACGGCCCAGACUCCUACGGGAGGCAGCAGUGGGGAAUAUUGGACAAUGGGGGCAACCCUGAUCCAGCAAUGCCGCGUGAGUGAUGAAGGCCUUAGGGUUGUAAAGCUCUUUCGGCGGGGACGAUGAUGACGGUACCCGCAGAAGAAGCCCCGGCUAACUUCGUGCCAGCAGCCGCGGGUAAUACGAAGGGGGCGAGCGUUGUUCGGAAUUACUGGGCGUAAAGGGCGCGCAGGCGGCUCUGAAAGUCAGAUGUGAAAGCCCCGGGCUUAACCUGGGAACUGCAUUUGAUACUCUGGAGCUUGGAGUACGGGAGAGGAGAGUGGAAUUCCCAGUGUAGAGGUGAAUUCGUAGAUAUUGGGAAGAACACCGGUGGCGAAGGCGCGGCUCUGGACCGUAACUGACGCUGAGGCGCGAAAGCGUGGGGAGCAAACAGGAUUAGAUACCCUGGUAGUCCACGCCGUAAACGAUGUGCGCUAGACGUUGGAGGCUUAGCCUUUCGGUGUCGCAGCUAACGCGAUAAGCGCACCGCCUGGGGAGUACGGGCCGCAAGGUUAAAACUCAAAGGAAUUGACGGGGCCCGCACAAGCAGUGGAGCAUGUGGUUCAAUUCGACGGCAACGCGAAGAACCUUACCAGCUCUUGACAUGCCCGGUAUGGGGCCGAGAAAUCGGCUUCUUCAGUUCGGCUGGCCGGUGCACAGGUGCUGCAUGGCUGUCGUCAGCUCGUGUCGUGAGAUGUUGGGUUAAGUCCCGCAACGAGCGCAACCCUCACCUUCAGUUGCCAUCAGGUUAAGCUGGGCACUCUGAAGGAACUGCCGGUGACAAGCCGGAGGAAGGCGGGAUGACGUCAAGUCCUCAUGGCCUUAUGGGCUGGGCUACACACGUGCUACAAUGGCGGUGACAGUGGGAUGCGAAGGCGCAAGCCUUGGCCAAUCUCAAAAAGCCGUCUCAGUUCGGAUUGUCCUCUGCAACUCGAGGGCAAUGAAGCUGGAAUCGCUAGUAAUCGCGGAUCAGCACGCCGCGGUGAAUACGUUCCCGGGCCUUGUACACACCGCCCGUCACACCAUGGGAGUUGGUUUACCCGAAGGCGCUGCGCCAACCGCAAGGAGGCAGGCGACCACGGUAAGGUCAGCGACUGGGUGA